rnacentral:rRNA from 1 species
UACGAAGGGGGCUAGCGUUGUUCGGAAUCACUGGGCGUAAAGCGCACGUAGGCGGACUGUUAAGUCAGGGGUGAAAUCCUGGGGCUCAACCCCAGAACUGCCUUUGAUACUGGCGAUCUCGAGUCCGGGAGAGGUGAGUGGAACUGCGAGUGUAGAGGUGAAAUUCGUAGAUAUUCGCAAGAACACCAGUGGCGAAGGCGGCUCACUGGCCCGGUACUGACGCUGAGGUGCGAAAGCGUGGGGAGCAAACAGG